rnacentral:rRNA from 1 species
CUUCGGGGAACGAUAACGGCGUCGAGCGGCGGACGGGUGAGUAAUGCCUAGGAAAUUGCCUUGAUGUGGGGGAUAACCAUUGGAAACGAUGGCUAAUACCGCAUAAUGCCUACGGGCCAAAGAGGGGGACCUUCGGGCCUCUCGCGUCAAGAUAUGCCUAGGUGGGAUUAGCUAGUUGGUGAGGUAAUGGCUCACCAAGGCGACGAUCCCUAGCUGGUCUGAGAGGAUGAUCAGCCACACUGGAACUGAGACACGGUCCAGACUCCUACGGGAGGCAGCAGUGGGGAAUAUUGCACAAUGGGCGCAAGCCUGAUGCAGCCAUGCCGCGUGUAUGAAGAAGGCCUUCGGGUUGUAAAGUACUUUCAGUCGUGAGGAAGGUUCAUGCGUUAAUAGCGUAUGGAUUUGACGUUAGCGACAGAAGAAGCACCGGCUAACUCCGUGCCAGCAGCCGCGGUAAUACGGAGGGUGCGAGCGUUAAUCGGAAUUACUGGGCGUAAAGCGCAUGCAGGUGGUUUGUUAAGUCAGAUGUGAAAGCCCGGGGCUCANCCUCGGAACUGCAUUUGAAACUGGCAAACUAGAGUACUGUAGAGGGGGGUAGAAUUUCAGGUGUAGCGGUGAANUGCGUANAGAUCUGAAGGAAUACCAGUGGCGAAGGCGGCCCCCUGNNNAGAUACUGACACUCAGAUGCGAAAGCGUGGGGGAGCAAACAGGAUUANAUACCCUG